rnacentral:rRNA from 1 species
AACGAACGCUGGCGGCAUGCCUAACACAUGCAAGUCGAACGAGACCUUCGGGUCUAGUGGCGCACGGGUGCGUAACGCGUGGGAACCUGCCCUUAGGUUCGGAAUAACUCCCCGAAAGGGGUGCUAAUACCGGAUAAUGUCUUCGGACCAAAGAUUUAUCGCCUUUGGAUGGGCCCGCGUUGGAUUAGCUAGUUGGUAGGGUAAAAGCCUACCAAGGCGACGAUCCAUAGCUGGGCUGAGAGGAUGAUCAGCCACACUGGGACUGAGACACGGCCCAGACUCCUACGGGAGGCAGCAGUGGGGAAUAUUGGACAAUGGGCGAAAGCCUGAUCCAGCAAUGCCGCGUGAGUGAUGAAGGCCUUAGGGUUGUAAGGCUCUUUUACCCGGGAUGAUAAUGACAGUACCGGGAGAAUAAGCUCCGGCUAACUCCGUG